UACGAAGGGGGCUAGCGUUGUUCGGAAUUACUGGGCGUAAAGCGCGCGCAGGCGGACCAUUAAGUUGGGCGUGAAAUCUCCCGGCCUAACUGGGAGGGGUCGCCCAAGACUGGUGGUCUUGAGGACAGCAGAGGUGGGUGGAAUUCCUGGUGUAGUGGUGAAAUGCGUAGAGAUCAGGAGGAACACCGGUGGCGAAGGCGGGUCUCUGGGCCGAUACUGACACUGAGGAGCGAAAGCGUGGGGAGCGAACAGG
rnacentral:rRNA from 1 species